rnacentral:rRNA from 1 species
GGCGAGAGCCUGAACCAGCCAAGUAGCGUGAAGGAUGACUGCCUAUGGGUUGUAAACUUCUUUUAUAAAGGAAUAAGUCGGGUAUGGAUACCCGUUUGCAUGUACUUUAUGAAUAAGGAUCGGCUAACUCCGUGCCAGCAGCCGCGGUAAUACGGAGGAUUCGAGCGUUAUCCGGAUUUAUUGGGUUUAAAGGGAGCGUAGAUGGAUGUUUAAGUCAGUUGUGAAAGUUUGCGGCUCAUCCGUAAAAUUGCAGUUGAUACUGGAUAUCUUGAGUGCAGUUGAGGCAGGCGGAAUUCGUGGUGUAGCGGUGAAAUGCUUAGAUAUCACGAAGAACUCCGAUUGCGAAGGCAGCCUGCUAAGCUGCAACUGACAUU